CUACAACUUACCACUUCACCCAGCCCCCUGACCCCUCUCAUACAUAACCCGGACUUGGCAGAUACGCUAACGCGCGGCGACUUAGCCGGACUUCAACCUACGGACUGGGCAUAUAUACACCAGUGGUUCAGUACCAACGGUCUCAAAACACUCAGGGAAUUAUGCCCAGACAGAACACCUACAUUCUUAGAACAGUUCAGAUACAGCCAAAUAAAAUCAUAU